rnacentral:rRNA from 1 species
AGUGAACGCUGGCGGUAGGCCUAACACAUGCAAGUCGAACGGCAGCACAGGAGAGCUUGCUCUCUGGGUGGCGAGUGGCGGACGGGUGAGGAAUACAUCGGAAUCUACUCUGUCGUGGGGGAUAACGUAGGGAAACUUACGCUAAUACCGCAUACGACCUACGGGUGAAAGCAGGGGAUCUUCGGACCUUGCGCGAUUGAAUGAGCCGAUGUCGGAUUAGCUAGUUGGCGGGGUAAAGGCCCACCAAGGCGACGAUCCGUAGCUGGUCUGAGAGGAUGAUCAGCCAUACUGGAACUGAGACACGGUCCAGACUCCUACGGGAGGCAGCAGUGGGGAAUAUUGGACAAUGGGCGCAAGCCUGAUCCAGCCAUACCGCGUGGGUGAAGAAGGCCUUCGGGUUGUAAAGCCCUUUUGUUGGGAAAGAAAUCCAGCUGGCUAAUACCCGGUUGGGAUGACGGUACCCAAAGAAUAAGCACCGGCUAGCUUCGUGCCAGCCGCCGCGGUAA